rnacentral:lncRNA from 1 species
UAUUGGGUUAUCAGCUAUAUAUUGUUAUGUGUAGUGUGGGGAAACAAUACAAUCAACAUCAAUAAAAAAAAAAUAGGCAUAAAAUUCAUUAAUUUAAUGAAUAUAGGACAGCUUGCAUCACUUAUUUAGGAAAAUAUUCAAUAUCACAGGAAUCAGAAAAAUGCAGAAAUUUUUGGAAGAGAAAUUAAAUUAGCCUUAGGAUUAUGAUCAUGCAUCCAAGAGGUUCUGCUUUUGCAUAUAAUGCUUGCCUUCAAUGUUCUGCUGCUACAGCUAAUGGAAUCCUAGAAACCAGUGGUAUCAUAUGAUCUUAAUAAUAUACAUAUACAUCUUGUAAAUGUAAAUAUCGAAUCCUAUUUAUAGAUUUUUUUUAUCUUUAGAAUUUCAAUUGUAUUAGUUUUUUCCCUAGAAAAAUGUAUUAAUUAUUUCAAUAUUAACAUUCCCUUAGUCAUUUUA